UACAGGGGGGUGCAAACGUUGCUCGGAAUCAUUGGGCGUAAAGCGCACGUAGGCGGUUCGUUAUGUCGGAUGUGAAAGCCCUUGGCUUAACCGAGGAAGUGCAUCCGAAACUGGCGAGCUAGAGUACGAAAAGAGGAUCGCGGAAUUCCCGGUGUAGAGGUGAAAUUCGUAGAUAUCGGGAGGAACACCGGUGGCGAAGGCGGCAUCUGGGUCGAUACUGACGCUGAGGUGCGAAAAGCGUGGGGGAGCAAACAGG
rnacentral:rRNA from 1 species